rnacentral:rRNA from 1 species
CUCUUCGGAGUUAGUGGCGGACGGGUGAGUAACGCGUGAGAAUCUGCCUUCAGGUCUGGGACAACAGAAGGAAACUUCUGCUAAUCCCGGAUGAGCCUUAGGGUAAAAGGUAAAUUGCCUGGAGAUGAGCUCGCGUCUGAUUAGCUAGUUGGUGUGGUAAAAGCAUACCAAGGCAACGAUCAGUAGCUGGUCUGAGAGGAUGAGCAGCCACACUGGGACUGAGACACGGCCCAGACUCCUACGGGAGGCAGCAGUGGGGAAUUUUCCGCAAUGGGCGAAAGCCUGACGGAGCAAGACCGCGUGGGGGAGGAAGGCUCUAGGGUUGUAAACCCCUUUUCUUUGGGAAGAAGAUCUGACGGUACCAAAGGAAUCAGCCUCGGCUAACUCCGUGCCAGCAGCCGCGGUAAUACGGAGGAGGCAAGCGUUAUCCGGAAUGAUUGGGCGUAAAGCGUCCGUAGAUGGCCAUGUAAGUCUGCUGUCAAAACCCAGGGCUCAACUCUGGUCAGGCAGUGGAAACUACAAAGCUAGAGUUUGGUAGGGGCAAAGGGAAUUCCCGGUGUAGCGGUGAAAUG